rnacentral:rRNA from 1 species
CCUACGGUGGGCUGCAGUGGGGAAUAUUGGGCAAUGGAGGAAACUCUGAUCCAGCAACGCCGCGUGAAUGAAGAAGGUCUUCGGAUCGUAAAGUUCUUUAGUCAGGGAAGAAUAAAAUGACGGUACCUGAAGAAUAAGCUCCGGCCAACUACGUGCCAGCAGCCGCGGUAAUACGUAGGGAGCAAGCGUUGUUCGGAAUGACUGGGCGGAAAGGGUGCGUAGGCGGUUAUACAAGUUAGAAGUGAAAUACCCGGGGCUUAACUCGGGUGCUGCUUCUAGAACUGUAAGACUGGAGUGCAGGAGAGGUUAGUGGAAUUCCUGGUGUAGCGGUGGAAUGCGUAGAUAUUAGGAGGAACACCAGAGGCGAAGGCGGCUAACUGGACUGCAACUGACGCUGAGGCACGAAAGUGUGGGGAGCAAACAGGAUUAGAUACCCGAGUAGUC